CCUACGGGAGGCAGCAGUGGGGAAUAUUGCACAAUGGACGAAAGUCUGAUGCAGCAACGCCGCGUGGAGGAUGACACAUUUCGGUGCGUAAACUCCUCUUAUAUAAGAAGAUAAUGACGGUAUUAUAUGAAUAAGCACCGGCUAACUCCGUGCCAGCAGCCGCGGUAAU
rnacentral:rRNA from 1 species